rnacentral:rRNA from 1 species
UACGGAGGGGCUAGCGUUGUUCGGAAUUACUGGGCGUAAAGCGCACGUAGGCGGACCGGAAAGUUGGGGUGAAAUCCCGAGGCUCAACCUCGGAACUGCCUUCAAAACUGUCGGUCUGGAGUUCGAGAGAGGUGAGUGGAAUUCCGAGUGUAGAGGUGAAAUUCGUAGAUAUUCGGAGGAACACCAGUGGCUAAGGCGGCUCACUGGCUCGAUACUGACGCUGAGGUGCGAAAGCGUGGGGAGCAAACAGGAUUAGAUACCCCGGUAGUCCCUGAGCGGGCU